rnacentral:rRNA from 1 species
CCCUUAGAUGUUCUGGGCCGCACGCGCGCUACACUGACGAAUGCAACGAGCUUAUAACCUUGGCCGAAAGGUUUGGGUAAUCUCCAAAUUUCGUCGUGAUGGGGAUAGAUUAUUGCAAUUAUUAAUCUUCAACGAGGAAUGCCUAGUAAGCGCAAGUCAUCAGCUUGCGUUGAUUACGUCCCUGCCCUUUGUACACACCGCCCGUCGCUCCUACCGAUUGAAUGGUCCGGUGAAGCGUUCGGACCGUGGCCUUUGGACGGUUCGCCGUCUGUUGGCUGCGGGAAGUUCGUUAAACCUUAUCAUUUAGAGGAAGGAGAAGUCGUAACA